GAAAUGAAUACCACCGCUCCCUUCCUCUCAGAGGGCUCCCAAUCUGCUCCUCUUUUCUCUGAUAAAUCAUUUUGCCUUUAAGUCUUGCAUAAUGAUGUAGCCACAUUGAGACCUAGUUGAAUAGUUUCACAAUAACUCCCUUAAGUCAGAGGGCCUUGGUGAAAUAACAUUGACUUUUACUCUGAAAUCCAUGGAAAUGCGAAGUUUACUGUUUUGUUCUCCUUGAUAAAAUAUAGCAUAAUAACUAGUUGCUGGGUUACUACCUAAAACACAGGCCCCAAACUGCAGCUGGGAAGGACAGUUAGCAAUUAAGUAAAGGAAAUGACUAUGACUAGUGGGUUUGAAACCCAACACACUGCCCAUAUCCUUCUUAGCACAGGGAGGCAUCGAUGUUACUUAGGCAACUUUUAUCACUAAGGAAGUAGUUUUGGUGACUCAUGCUCAUACAGAAUGACUUAUUUCAAGAUCUGGGUGUUCAGUAACCUUACCAUUAUGCUUCUGUUUUCUCUGUUUUGGGCUCAGACAGCAAAACUCCCUUUGGAUGACAUAGAUUUAUUACUUACUAGUAUAUCAUGCAUUGGCUGUCCCACAUUUUGAAAUUUAAUGGAAUCGUGGUGAUCAGAAUAAAAGAAGCCUUCAAUGUGAGGCCUAGGCAUUUGGUACCAUGUGUGCAAUUCAUGAGCCUUGGCAUCUGAACACUUUUCUGGAAGGAUCCAUCAAGACAACACAUCAGGGAUGUACUAGUGAAGUGAUUUUCAAAAUGUGCUACUCAGACCUAUAGCAUCAACAUCACCUGAGAAUUUGUUAGAAAUUCCAACUGUUAGGCUCCACUUUAGACCAAUUGAAUCUGAAACUCGGGGAGUUCAUGGGGUCCAGCAAUUUGUGUUUUUACAAGACUUACAGGUGAUUCUGAGAACCACUGUGCUUCUGAAUUGUUCCUGUCUGUGGCCACGUAGAAUAUGAAAAGUAUAGGGUUGGAAAAUGGGGAAAUUAAUGAGUGUUCACUUAUGAGGAAAUGAAGAAUAGAUAGAAAAGAAUGAGUUAACUUUUGGAAUUCAAAAAAGAAGCAAUUUGUAAAAGCCAGGAAUUUGAUUUGUAGGAUUAAUUGCUUGCAGAAUCUUUGCUUUCUCAGAGAGGGGCAAUCCAGAUCACUAGGUUACCGUGAAAUAUAUUGGUAUGGUUCUAAAAUUCUAGAAUGAUCUCACUAGUGAAAAAAGGCAUACCUUUCCAUAUUAGGACAAAACUUCAAAUCAGGUUUGUAAAAUCCUAUAAGUUUCUUGUAUCCCAUUGCCAUGGCCAACUUGUUCAUCUCUGGACAUCCCAGUUUCUACAUCUGAAAACCAUAUGCAUUCCUGCUCACCAUGAAUUAUCUCAUUGAAUGAAGCGAGAGAUUCAGGAUGUGUAACAUAAUUUAUGAAGCACUUGGAUUACUAAGAAAUGUGAAGUAGAAAGAUCAAGAAUGAUUAAUGUAAACACUGGUGGCAAAGAGGUGUUUCGAAGUUGAUACAAAAAAUGAGUUGCUUAUUUCAGUCUCUUUUUGAUAUAUCUGCCUUUUUAGUGCUGACUCUAUCAUGUAUUCACUAUUUGAUUUUAAAUGAAUCACAUGUUUAAAGCUUUUCAUCUGUUUCCUCAACAAAUAUAUAGUUUUAAUAAUAUCUACUCACAGGAUUGUUGUGAGAAUAAAAUUGAUUCAAUUGAUUUUCCAAAAAAAUAUGGAAAUACAGUUUGUAAAAAUAAAGCAAUACCAUUUUUGGA